GCCGACCUAGUCCAACUGGCAGAGACAACCCGCUUAAGACGGGUCAAGUGAGGGUUCGAAUCCCUCGGUCGGCA
rnacentral:tRNA from 1 species